rnacentral:rRNA from 1 species
CCAGAGAACUUAGCAGAGAUGCUUUGGUGCCUUCGGGGAACUCUGAGACAGGUGCUGCAUGGCUGUCGUCAGCUCGUGUUGUGAAAUGUUGGGUUAAGUCCCGCAACGAGCGCAACCCUUAUCCUUUGUUGCCAGCGGUCCGGCCGGGAACUCAAAGGAGACUGCCAGUGAUAAACUGGAGGAAGGUGGGGAUGACGUCGAGUCAUCAUGGCCCUUACGAGUAGGGCUACACACGUGCUACAAUGGCGCAUACAAAGAGAAGCGACCUCGCGAGAGCAAGCGGACCUCAUAAAGUGCGUCGUAGUCCGGAUUGGAGUCUGCAACUCGACUCCAUGAAGUCGGAAUCGCUAGUAAUCGUAGAUCAGAAUGCUACGGUGAAUACGUUCCCGGGCCUUGUACACACCGCCCGUCACACCAUGGGAGUGGGUUGCAAAAGAAGUAGGUAGCUUAACCUUCGGGAGGGCGCUUACCACUUUGUGAUUCAUGACUGGGGUGAAGUCGUAACAAGGUAGGCGUACGUGU